UUCUACAGCCAUGCCACCCUGAAUGUGCCCGAUCUCGUCUGAUCUCAGAGGCUAAACAGAGUCGGGCCUGGUUAGUACUUGGAUGAGAGACCACCUAGAAAGACCAGGUGCUGUAAGCA
rnacentral:rRNA from 1 species